rnacentral:misc_RNA from 1 species
UUCCUUCUCCAAAUCAUCACCGAAUGAUCCGUCAUUAGUUCCUAUCAUCGGCCGCCUACCCAAUUCAGAUAACAUAUUCAAAACCCCAAUUUGAUCAUCACCCACUAUAACGACUCAAAAACUGAUGAAUACCCAGUACAACAAUCACAAUCUAAAACCUAAAAAAUCCCCAAAAUGAGAACUUUCGACGUUUAAAGCAGCUAAACACCAUAUAUACAGGUCCAAUAAGGUAACUUUGACUACAAAAGAUCAAAACAUUCUAUCACCUAAACUGCUCCGAAAUCAAUAUUCUCAAUCGUAAACUACAAACCUCGAUUAUUAGCCAAAAAAAAAAAAAUUAGAAUCGAAGUAUG